UUCCGGGGGUAGGAGGCUCUGGAACUCUGCAGCCAGCUGGGGGAUGCAAGGAAGGGGCCCACGGACCACAAUCCCAAAACCAGCACUGCUAAGGGUCUUUGAUUGCUUUCCCAAUUUCCAUGCAUGAGAAUAUUUUACUGGAAGGUAGAGUCAAGAACCCAGAGAAUACUGCUGACGGCUUCUCAAAGUCCCUCCCAGAGACAUGGCGUCAGCAGGAGGAACAUGGGACUGGAAGUGAUGGUUGGGAUGUGAAGAGCUCCUUUAACACAGCACAGAGUCUGGUGACUGGAAGGUCUAGAAGUAUAUCAGAAGAAAGGAAAAAUUCGUGGAUAAUGACCAGAUUUUACAUCCACCCAAUGGCUUGGAAUGUUCCAGUGCCAAGAGAAGCCCUUCUUGUCACAUGUGAUUUCAUAAUAAUUUGGGCCAGCUGUGUCUGAGCAAAUCAGGUCAAGCCUGAUACCAAACCCUAACUCAGACACAGGAAGAUCCUCACUGC
rnacentral:lncRNA from 10 species